rnacentral:lncRNA from 1 species
UGGAUACUUGUGAUUGGGGCUACAAGACGGUAUUCUGAAAGAGGCCCCGGUUGUUAUCUUUGUGUUGAGCUGCAUUUCUUUUUGUUGUUUGUUUAUCUCUAUUCUAGUUGUUUCUAUUCUUGCAAAUUCUAUGUUAUUUCCUACUGUUGCACUUAUUUAUACUAUUUUAACUACACUGUUAACCCUUAUAUCUUAUUUGACCUCAGUAGGGACUUGACCUUCCUCGUCACUACCCGAACGAGGUUAGGUUUGGCACUUACUGAGUACAGCCGUGGUGUACUCAUGCCCCUUAUGCGCAAUAUUUUUCAUGUGCAGAUCCAGGUACAACUUCUAAGGUCUACUUUCUUUGGGGAAGGCGACUACUUAGAGACUUCGAGGUAUUUCUGCAGACCGAAGAGUCCUUUUCUAUUUCUACCUUUUUAGUAUUUAGACCUUCUAUACUUUUUGUUGUUAUUAGACAAUUUAUGGAGUUAGAGCUAUGUAGUAUUUCCCCUUUUUCUUAGCUUGUGAUUCAUGCGUUUCUGGGUCUUGGAUUUGGAUAUUGGUUUAGAGGACUGUAUACUGUGUAUGCUAAGCGGCACAUUUAAACACUGUUAUUACUUUAUUUCUCCUUUAAUCUAUUUUAUCUCUACAAAUGUGGAUUUUAUAUUGCAAUGUAGGCUUACCUAGUCGUAGAGACUAGGUGCCAUCAAGACAAUUCACGGAGGGCAAGCUAGGAUCCUGACAAGUUGGUGUCAGAGCUCUAGAAUCAUAGGAGUCAUGAAUCACAAGCCGGUUUAAUAUGGUCUCUGAUUGGUACGAAGACGUCUAUACUUAUCUACGAGGGGAUAUGUAACUGUUAGGAACAAAAUUCCACUUCCUUUGAUUCCCUGUUGUGCGAGAUGUUUGACGUCAAGGUAGGGGCGCGGGUGCCCCCAUUAUCUCAGGUAGCGCAUGUUCUCACCAUUUAUGAGAGAAUAGAAGACAAAAGUUUAGAACUAUGAUUUAAAGAUCUCGCACGACAAGAAAAUCAAAUGAAAUGGAAUUUUCCGUACCGAUCAACGUGACUCUAAUAAACCGACUUGUGAUUCAUAACUCCUAUGAACCUAGAGUUUUGAUACCAACUUGUCAUGACCCCAGUUCGUCCUCACUAGGGCCCUGACCUUCUUUGUCACUACCCGACCGAGGUUAGGCUUGGCACUUACUGAGUACUACUGUGGUGUACUCAUGCCCUUUUUGUGUGUGCUUUUUUCAUGUGUAGAUCCAGGUAACUUGACUCAGACUUACCACCAUUUUGGCGAGGCGAUCCUUUGAAGACUUUGAGGUAUAUCUUCUACAUCCACAGACUGAGGAGUAUCUCUCCAUUCUCUC